GUAAGGGCCCAAUCGAGAAACACUUAACUGACAAUGGACUUUGGUAGACACCAUCCACAUCUGAGCUUUCCUGUGAACGUUCAAACUAACACGUAAACAAUGGCAUCAGUCUGCAAAAAGCUGAAAUCAUUCAUAGACAGGUGAUUUGCCUAGGUGGCUAAAGACUCCAUCUUGUGGCUAUGAUCUUGCACAGGAGAACAAAGGGAUUUCCUCCCACGAGAGAGAAUAUAAAAGGCCCUAAAAAAUCCCUCCAUUUUAUCUUCAGCUGGCUCAAGAGAUAGCCUCUCCACACCAAAGAGAUGCCUGAAAGAAACUGGAACAAAGAACAGUAACUACGGGGGUGUGAGUGAUUGCUGAACCCAGACUAGGAAGGAGUCUAGUCUGUGAAAGAAGCUUAUUGGAACAUCUCUGAAGCAGAAGAGUUUUUGAGAAGAGACCCCACUUAUUUGGCCAUACUGCAUUCCUUAAUACAAUCCAAAUCAGCAAUUUCCUCACCCUUCUAAUUCAGGGUACAGAUGCCCACAAAGGCAAGUUUAAUUGCAUACAUAUUCUCCUCAGAAGUCCAUAAUUCCACCUCUAUCCAAGGAAGAUGAAGAGCAGAUUUAGAAUGACCCUCCUCCGGAAGGACAGAUGCAGUCUCCUCCGGGUGAGGCUGUUGCAUCUUCUACUCCAACAGUAGUUGACUUCAAAGCUUACCAAGAGCUGUUAAAGAGGAUAUUGGAGACAUCAGAAAUUCCUUUGGAACUUGUGCAAGAAAAGUCCAUAUGAAUAAUUUGAUAUCCUACAAUCUUCUACUCAAAAUAAGGUAGCCUUACCUAUUUAGUGAAGGUAUCCUUGACCCAGCAAAAGAAUUAUGGGCAACACCGUUUUCUAUAUUAGCGACUUCCAAAUAAGUAGAUAGGAAAUGUCAUCAAGUUCCUUCUGUGGGAGCUGAAUAUGUCUAUACUCACCUGAAUCCUUCAUCCUCAGUAAUUACUGCUGUUCAUGAGAAAUCCAAACAGAUUUCCAGAUCUGCAACAAAGAAGAAGGAAUUAAAAAAAAAUUUAAAAAAACCCUAGAUCUGUGGGGGUGGGGUGGGGGGAACACUUUCUCUUUGGCCUCUCUUCAGGUCAGAAUUUUUAACUAUCCAGCAAUAAUAACCAAAUAUAGUUACAUACAAUGGGUCAGAGUGUCAAGUUUUCAAGAUAACUCUUCUCUCAAUUCAGAGGGAAGUUUUACUUCCUUAUGCUCUGACAGCUAAAGUACUAAAAUCUCGUUACAAGCAGCUCUGGAUGCAGUGGAUACAGGAGCAUAAACAAGAGGUAUUCUUGGCUUUCAGCAUCAGGUCUAACAAAAGAGGUUCAGACUACAAUACAGGAUUUACCCUGUAAGGGUCAGGAUCUGUUUAGUUCCAAGACGAAUGAUACAUUACAUUCUUUAAAGGACUCAAGAGCUACUUUAAGACCCCAUGGCUUUUAUAUCCCAUCUUUCAAGAAGAAACAAUAUAGACCACAAAUUUAUACUGAAGAGUCCUCAACCCUCUACUUCUGGUUACGUCUUUCACCAGAGAACUUUCUUUCAACAGAGUAGACAGACCAAGAUUGCAGAAGAGAAAAUCAUUUAAUUCCUCUUAUAUCUCAUCUCAGUUUGGUCACUCUCAGAAUAAACCAUUUUGAGGAUAUGGUCAAAGUUACAGAUCAAGUAUAUUCUUUCUCUACUUUUGAUUCCCACCUAGCCUUCAAGGAGGCUUGGACUGGCAUAACUAUGGACCAAUGGGUACUUCAGGUCAUUCAAGAUGGUUAAGCUAUAUAAUUCCAGUCCAUUCCUCCUCCUACCCUCCUUACUCAUCCCUGUUCAGGGACCACUCUCAUAAGGUGGUCAUGCAACAAGAGAAACUUGAUGUUAUAAUGGGGUCUGAUAGAAAGAGUUCCUCCCCAAUUUGUGGAGACUAUUUUAUUCUCCAUACUUCCUGAUUCCAACAAAGAAAGGGGAUUGGAGUCUGAUUUUUCAACCUCUGACACUAAACAUGACAUCAGAUUUCACAUAACACUCAUUUCUCUCAAACCCUCCCUAGAUCAUAUUGACUGGUUCAGUAUCCUUUACUUGCAAGAUGUGUACUAUCUUGUACAGAUUCAUCAGGCACCCAGGAAGUUUUUCCAUUUUGUAGUAUUAGUUAAAUGUUACUUGUUCAAAGUUCUGCUGUCUGAGCAGUCAAUGACACUUCAAGUCUUCAGAUGAUUUACUACUUUUUGUGAUCUGUCAGUUAUCCAGCAUUUAAUCCAUUUAACUUAUGUAGAAAGGCAGACUCACUGCUGAAGCACCCCUUCAUGGCUGUGAGGUGUAGCAGUGCACCUUAUGGGUGCUCUGGUCCUGCCUAUUCUUGUGGCUGAGUUCUCCGGUCAGGUCGUGUUUUGUUUACAACCUUUCCAAGGUAACAAAGUCCAGCACAAUAAAAUAUAUUUCUGCCCCCUUCUUGAGAUAUUCUUUGGCUUAUCCUUAAGGCUCGGUCUUCAGCCACAUUAUGGGCUCAAUAGUUCUUAGUGGGCUUGUACACCCUUUUCUGAGUGCUGGAAGGGAACACAGACUCACCUGCUGCUCUGGGUUUCAGAUAGGGUUGCUAGCAGUCGUUAUUACAAGGGAUAUCCCUUAUUUUUUCAUCUCUAUACAGCAAGAUCCGGAGUUGCUGAUUGCAGCAAAAAGCAUCAAGAAAUGCCCUUGGCGAAUGUAGGUGAGUACUGCUUAUUAGAUGAUGAUGAUCUGAUAUUGGGAUGUGGGUGUGGCAGGGGUGCUAAGAAAGCCAUUCCUUAUUUUUGAAAUGCAGUGUUGGCAACCCUAGUUCCAGCCCAGGGACUCUGUAUUAAGCAGUUAAGUCUGCUCCUUCAGAUGUGCUGCCAUUUCCCUGGGCCACUUCCUACAUCCGACCCCUGCCUUUUGCUGCUUAACACAGCAUCUUCUCUGGCUCCCAGAUUCUGGCUUCUUCCUACGUUCUCCCACUUCCUUUCCCUUGCUGGAAUACCAACCCCUCAGGACCUCUUCUCUGCACUUUACCCCCUUUUCAGGGCCUACCACGCAGAUUAAUUCUGUCCCAAUGGCCUUCUUCAGUCUGUUUUUUCCCAGGGCCUUCUUAGAGAGCAAGAAUUCCCUACCUCUUCUCUUCUGGAUUUCCCCCAUACAACUUUUUUUUUUCUUUUAUGAAGAAGACCCACCUCCUCCCCAGCUGUGUCUAAUAA